GCGGGGCCGCUGAGGGGCCCUGGUAGGCCCAGGGCCGGGGGCGGCCGCACGGUCGUGUCCCCUGCUCGGGGAACACGAAAUAAAGCAACUCCCAUCGGAGAAAUCAGAGAAUCGUGGAAGGGUUUGAGCUGGAAGCGACAUUGGAAAGUUGGACAGCGACACCUUCCACUAGACCAGGUUGCUCAAUGCCCCCCGUCCCACCCAACCUUGACCACUCUCAGGAAUUGGGCAUCCAGAGCUUCUCUGGGCCGCCUGCUCCGGUGCCUCACCACUGUCACAGUAAAGAAUUUCUUACUGAUGUCUGAUCUAAAGCUACUGCUGUCCAGUUUGAAGCCAUUCCUCCUUGUCCUGUCACUCCAUGCCCUUGUGAAAGGUCACUCUCUGGCUCUGUUGUAGCCCCUUUACGCACUGGGACGUGCUCAGGGUCUCCACAGAGUCUCCGAGCUGAACCUCACUCUUAGCCUGUCUGCAUAAGAGAGGUGCUGCAUCUCCUCUGCUCAUCUGGACUCGCUGGAAGGGAUCCAUGUGUGUAUUGUGUGGGGCUCCCCGCAGCACUCCAGGUGAGGUCUCAGCAGAGCAGAGCAAAGGAGCAGAAUCCCUUCCCUCAUCCUCCAGGCCACUCUGCUUUUGAUGCAGCCCAGGAUUGACAUGAGCUUCCUCUUUUCGCCACUACCCUGUGGUCCUUCCGUUUCUCAAGAGUGACUUUUCUUGGGCUAUGCACUUGUUGCAGUGCAACAAUGUCAAACAUGUCUGUCUAUCACAGCAUAACAAUAUUUAAGUGAGGAAUCUGUGAAACACGAUGGGACUUCAGGAGCUGGUGAAAUAAUAAUCAAAUCCAAUCACACUCAUAUGGAGCUAAAGAAGAUGAGAUCUUUCCAGUGGUAAAAUGGAGUUGAUUUUGAAGAGGGGAGAAAAAUCUGGUAGCUUCUCAGUAAAAUGAGAUUAAACCACUUUGACACUUUUGAAUAAAUCCAGGUGAAUUUGAAGCCAUUAAGAGACGGGGCUUUGAUUCAUUAAUCUGAUCUGUCAGUUCUGGCUAAAAGUAAAGAUCCUGUGAACUAAAGAGAUCAAACUGAGAUUUUUCUACUUGGUAAUAACUGAGGUCUCAUCCAGCAAUGAUGGUUAUUCCCUCAACAGUGAAAUGAAUUCUGGUGCAGCAGUAGCAUUCAAAAUCAUAGACAUCUGUCUGUAAAAACAUGUUCACAGCAGGAGCUGCUUUUCCCCAGUUUGAACAAGGGUUAUUACAGCUGUCAACAAAUUCUAAACUACUGGAGAGUGAACUUCUGCACUUUAUUUCCUUUGUUCAGUUUAUAAAUAAUCCUUGUGCCUGCUAAAAAUGCCCUUUCCUUCUGGUCCAGUCUGCACAGAUUGAGUUAAACUGUGUUUAACCCUUCUGGGUAUUUCAUGCUAGAGACCAAACACAAGAAGAGCCAUAGCCUUCAAGUUACUGCAACCAACACAAACCUUCUGGAGACUAAGAAAUGUAAAUUAAUAUACAUGAACCAACAGUUGCUGAAAAUUAAUACCAGACUAACAUAGUCAGAACUGCACCAAGGAGCAGAACAAGCUGAAGUGGCUAAUAGAAAGAAGGAUGGUAGACAAGGAGGCAGAUGGAAGCAGAAUUCUGUGACUGAAGAUACUGGAAUGAUGAUUUUAAGACUAGAGUAGAAUUUCUUCUUUCCAUUUAGUGCCAACUACACGAAACCCUUCACCCCAGGAGGAUCCUGCUUGAUGCAGCUGUAAGGUUAUUUUGGUCACAACAGAUUUGAAUACUAAUAAACACAGAGUACUCAGCAGUCCCUCUCAAAAGAGAAACUAGGAACCUCAGUGACGAAGAAUUCAUAAGUUCAGAAAUACAUGAAGGGAGCUUGGUAGCAAGCUGUGUGUCAGGAUGUAGCACUACAGAGGCAGUGAGAUAUGAAACCGAUGUGUGGAAGAUCAACAGUAGAUAAGUAUUUUAAAGUUGUAAACAUCAAGAGCUGUAGAACCAAGUGUUCUGUCUCUAGUCAUGUGGACAGCCCCAAAGGCCUGCCUUUCCCUGCUUGCACUCUGCAAAGCUAAACUCAGCAGUAGGGAAGGACAGAGGAUGAAAAGUUUUCCAAGGACUCCUCACAUGUCUUCUAACAAGGAGCUUGUGCGGAGCAUUCAGGAUGCAGGGAAGGGCCAGCAGAUGGCUGUAGAUGGCAGCGGCUGCCUGAAAUGGAGCAGGUCCCAGGAUGCCAGAGGAAACCCGGAGCAGGCUCACCCGAGUGAUUGAUACCAGGAAGUCAUCAUUCCCCCAGCCUGGGGAAGGAGGGAGUGCUGCAUUCAUAAGACCAGCAAAGAGAGCCACUGCUCCCAGCAUCUCCUGCAGACACAGUGCAGCAGGCACAAUAUAGGGCACAACAGAGAGCAGGGAAAUGGCAGCCCCUUUGCUGAGCCAGUGCUGCAGCAGAGCUGAUGGAGUAUCUGGGUCAGCGUGCAGCAAUUCUUCGCAGAUGACUGGGACCGACAGAGCCCAAGGCCAGCCUUGGCAGUAGAGCCAAGGGCUCCUUUUGUAACUGAAGGGAUGUAAAAUCUGCUCCCCCUUUCAAGCAGCAUUUGCAGGAGGGAACCCCGUGCUGCAGCCUCCGUCAGCUGGAACUAACGCCCGUCGGCUCCGCUCACCCAUCCCUGCUCAGCAGAGCACAGGCUGGGAAAUCAGCGUUGCCAUGGGAUUCGGCUACAAAAGGCCAAAAGAUGUGGAUGUCAACCAAGUAUCCAGAUAUGCAGGGAGGCUAUUUUCUGCUCUAACUAAACCUGAAGUGGAAGGUCUUCUCUAAAAAACAUCAUUUUGCUUUUUUACUCACAAGAGCAAUGUCAAAGUUACCUGGAGAAUUUUUUUUGUGUUUUAAAGCUCCUCACUUGGCUUUGAAGAUCUUUGUGUUUCAGGCAGGUUUUAGGAAAAGCUCAUUCAUGCAUUCCAACAUUUGGCUACUUUUUCCAAAUAUCCUGCUAGGCCUAAUGAGUGACAUUACCUUUGCUGACAGCCGCAGUGCCCUCAGAAGAGAUACAGCUUUGGAGACCAGCACACUGCCCACUGGGCAUACACAGAUCAUGUAUCAUGGGAUCUUUCCCCUUUCUGCUUCUAUGCCUCAACCCACUGGGACAGGAGCAUGAAAGGAUCAGUGCUUUCCUUAUAUAUCAUCCCUGAUCAUCAGUAAGACUGGCAGCUGUCUCUCAAGAUUUGUGCUAAACCCUUUGUUAGAGGUUGAUUCACACAGCCACAGCCUUCAAAGUCAAGUGGCACUGUUAGAUCAUCCUGUCGGGUAGCACAGGCCAUCAGGAUUUGUGCUGAUUUGUGUUUUGUUAAAACAUGUCCUUCAAAAAAGGAUAGUACACUUUUGAUUUGACAGCCACAGAAGAGGAAAGAUCUGUUACUCCCCUGUACUAACCAAAAUUUAGAAAGUCAUUCAGUUUUUUUUCCCAGAUGCUGAAAGCAUCAGGAUAAUUUUUCUGAUGAUCUUGAUUCCUGGCAGAAUACAAGUUUUGUGCUUAGGACCUAGACUGCUAAAAUGUGAUGCCAACCAGCUAACUAACCUUCCUUGCCACUCAAUGUUUAAAGACACAAUAUAGAAGAAGUACUUGACUUUCAGAAGUAAUAAUGAGGAAAGGUCAAGGCCAGAAGAAAUGUUGGUGUUUCUAGAAUAACAGCAGCUGCUUCUGCAUAUGCUUGAAAGGAGGGUGGAUAUUAACACAAGGAUUUUGAGGAAGUAGCUAUUUACUACUGGAAUUUUGGAUGACAGCUGCCACAUUAUAGGUGUUUAUCUAAUAAUAUUCACCCUAAUACUGGUAUGCUUUGUCUGAACCAGUCAGCCUAGAUCAGAUCACUCAUUUGUUUCUGCCAUAGCAGAACUUGCUAGAACAGCAUUUUUUUUAUUAUUAACAUUUCUGCUCAAAUCCUUCAUGUUCUGAUUCUGGAUAAUUUCCACUUCAAAAUGACAAUAUAGGGCAAAAGAUAAAAAGAUCUGGAGCAGAAAAUCCUUAAUUUAAAGGAGAAAGCAAGGAACAGAAAUGUGAAUGGAUGCAUUCUGGUCAUAAGGCAAGCCUGCUGGAACACCUGGGAACACACUGUGGACUCCUGACCCUCAGGCAUUUGUGUCCAGCUUUGCUCCAGCUGUACUUUGUGCCUUGGUGCUCAGCAUGGGAGAAGAAUCAGGAACCAUCCAGGCCAGGCAAAGUGACCAAGUCAUUGCUCAACCUGCCCACUUGUAUCUGGAGAAAUUCUUUCCUAACCAUCAGUCUUCUUGGGGUUUCAGUGGAAUUUUUGUCAGCAGAGCACCCAAUGUGUUGAAGGAUGUCAGAACAUGGGCUACUAAUGCACCACUGACAAAUUUAGGGCUGACAUCUGUUGGGGGCUGCUGAGCAAGAUGCACUCAGCCGACCCAUUGUCAAGAAGUGCUGCUGGCAUUUGUCCAUGCACCAGGAUAUUUUACAGAAUGUCAUCACUUGGUAAUGAAAUGCUCCCUGGUAACGAUGGCUCACAAACACAGAAAUAGCCUUUGCCCAUAAUAAAGUUUUGCAAAUAAUGCUUGCAGGAAGUGAUUCGCUACGAAUCAAUCAAGCAGAUCCCAGAAAUAAUGUGGCAGAUGGUAACUCGACAUUACUGCAACAUCACCAAACUACUUACUCGCACUUUAAACAACCAUUUGGACUCAGGUCUUUAAAGAAAAACAUUCACUCUCACUCUACAGCUGGUUGAAGCUGAAUUGUCACCCCACAGAAAAUUCUAUCCUUAGAAGUCAGUAAAAGGCAGGAUAAAAUUAAGUCUGAAAUGUCCUUCAAUACAAAAGAAAAAAAAAUCAGUUAUCAAGACUAUUUUGAUGCCUUCAGGCUAUAUGCCCUUUCUUUAUUUUUAGCUAUGUUAGGCUACAAACAAAUAAAAAAAUUAAAUAUAAAAUUAACACAAUCUUUGUUCUGAGUGAUAUGUACAAAGAAAAUUUAACAAAAUAGAUUUGAAAAAGAAAAUGCUGGAAAGAACAAACACCUUCCUGCUUGCAUUUUGAUUUUUUGUCCUAUGGAUAUAAAAGUUUGUUGAAAUCAUCAUGUCUCCGUUUUUCAUGCCCUAGAACCUUCUACCAGGAAAAAUUUCCACCGGAACAGUUUUGAUUAGGUCUCUCUAGGUUGUGACCAGGUACACUCAAGUUACAGUGGUUUAAAAAGUUACUCAUCGUGAGGUGCACUUUCUUAUUUGCAAAGUAAAACCCAUUAUCUUACAUUGUACGCCUAACUUACUGAGAUUUAAAAUUAUUAAUUAAGUUUUCUGUUUAUACCUGCAUAUUCUUUCAUCACUGUAUGAAGACUUGUUGCAUGCCACAGAGCAGGCAGCCCUGAUUUAUUGACUACAGUAUCAAUGCAGUUCUUAAACAACAGCUUUACAUACAGAAGGAGAUUUUUCACUCUCCUCUUCCAUGCGCAUCAUUGCACUCUGAAACCUUUCCAGAAAUGAGGUUAGCCAAGCCACU